rnacentral:rRNA from 1 species
CUAGGAUGAACGCUGGCGGCGUGCCUAACACAUGCAAGUCGAGCGAUUACUUCGGUAAAGAGCGGCGGACGGGUGAGUAACGCGUGGGUAACCUGCCUCAUACACAUGGAUAACAUACCGAAAGGUAUGCUAAUACAGGAUAAUAUAAGAGAUUCACAUGGAUUUCUUAUCAAAGCUCCGGCGGUAUGAGAUGGACCCGCGUCUGAUUAGCUAGUUGGUAAGGUAAUGGCUUACCAAGGCGACGAUCAGUAGCCGACCUGAGAGGGUGAUCGGCCACAUUGGAACUGAGACACGGUCCAAACUCCUACGGGAGGCAGCAGUGGGGAAUAUUGCACAAUGGGCGAAAGCCUGAUGCCAGCAACGCCGCGUGAGUGAUGAAGGCCUUCGGGUCGUAAAACUCUGUCCUCAAGGAAGAUAAUGACGGUACUUGAGGAGGAAGCCCCGGCUAACUACGUGCCAGCAGCCGC